GCCUAGGUGCUCUUCUGAGAGCUGCUCUGGAAUUUAGAGGCGGCAUCUUGUCCAGAACCAUCUGCAGACUCCCCUUAUUUGUUUUGGGCCCCAGAGCUAGUCUAGAUGGUCAUGCCCGAAGCAGUGGUGGAGUUGUGGCUUGUUCAAUAACAGAUUCAACCCUCAUCACCUUUAUGCAGAGUUAACUGUUGCAGUGGCAACUGAAGAUGGCAAUCUAACUAGCUUGGAGGUAUUGAAAUCGGCUUGUUGGACUCAGAUCUCUCUCAGUUGUGUGACCGGUGAUAAUUAAGUCAUUAGGCCUCAGCAUCUCCGUCCCGCAAGGGGACAGGAGGUGAAGAUUCAGGGAGGUAGUAGUGCACAGGUGCUCCUAGAACACAUCUGUAAUCUCAGCUUGUGGAAGGCGCAAGAUUUCCAUGACACUGCCAGGGUCUGAAAAGCAUGCCUGAGGAGCACCAGCUCGGCAGAGCACCGGCUCCAGCAGAACACAGGCUCCAGCAGAGCACCAGCUCCAGCAGAGCACCAGCUCCAGCAGAGCACCAGCUCCGGCAGAGCACCAGCUCCAGCAGAACACAGGCUCCAGCAGAACACCAGCUCCGGCAGAGCACCAGCUCCGGCAGAGCACCAGCUCGGCAGAGCACCAGCUCCAGCAGAACACAGGCUCCAGCAGAGCCAGCAGAGCACCAGCUCCAGCAGAACACAGGCUCCAGCAGAACACAGGCUCCAGCAGAGCACCGGCUCCGGCAGAACACAGGCUCCAGCAGAACACCGGCUCCGGCAGAGCACCAGCUCCAGCAGAACACCGGCUCCGAGAGGCGUAUUCUGAUUCAAUCUUAUUGACCUGGUAUCUCAAGUAUCUGUCCUCCUCCAGGACUGGCUCCAAGGCUGGCACUGAACUCCUAAUCCUCCUGCCUCUACCUUCUAAUUGCUGGGGUUACUGGCAUACAUCACCAUAACCAGCCACUUCCCAAAGAUUUCAGACCUUUCCCCAUUCAGAUGAAGUUCCGUUUCCCCCAGAAUCUGGCAUUGAAAGGCUGGCCGGGACUAAUGCAAUCGUGACAAAGACAUUAAGAGACGGGGCCGCCCAGCAAAGAUGAGCAAGCCUUGAAAUGAGUCAAGAAUCAUUUAUGAGAUGGAUUCCUUCUGAUUUAUCACUCCCUCUAUUGAUGCUCUAUCCCCUUGUACUUCAGAAAGAGGAAUUUGUAGAUAAGGCAGCUUCUGGGGUUUUGUUGUUGUUCUUGUUCUUGUUUUUUUAAAAGAUUUAUUUGUUUUAUGGAUAUGAGUACACCAUUACUCUCUUCAAGACAUACCAGAAGAGGGAAUCAGAUCCCACUACAUGUGGUUGCUGGGAAUUGAACUGAGGGACCUCUGGAAGAGCAGUCGGUGCUCUUAACUGCUAAGCCAUCUCUCCAGCCCCAGCUUGUUUUCAACUACUUUUUAUUUUGAGAUAGGGUUAUUGAAGAGAUAAUUAAGGUCACUGAGGUCUGGGUGGGACCUAACCUCCUAUUUCUGGUGUCCUUAGAAGAGAAAGAGGGGCUGGGGAGGUAGGUCAGGGCAAGGUUCUUACUUGCCUCCCAUACAUGAGGUCCUAGGUUCCAUGCCUAGUACCCAAAGAAACAAACAAUAAAAACCAACCAAAAGACAGCGCAUAGGCCUCCAUUUCUCCAUAGGAACCAUGUAAGGACACCGUAGCAGCUACUCAUAGUCAGAAGGAGCACUAGAAAUGCCAUCUAUCUGGCCAGGACUUUUACUGUCAAGGACUGAGAAAACCGUUGACCUAUUUGGCAUAUGUUGACAUAUCUGGGAGGACUAAAGCAUUUAUAUUAGCCACAGACUGUAAAGGCAAUCAAAAGGUCUGUCUUCAAAGCUUUUCUCCCUCUCUCCCCACCUUGUGCUGAGGAUUCAAUCCAAGAUCUUCUGCAUACUAGAAAAGCGUUCUACCUCUGAGCUACACCUUGCACUUUGCUCUGUGAGCGAAUCACUGGGAAACAGUUUCUUUGGGGGUGGGUGGGGCAUUGAGACGCGAUCUCUACACAAGCUCUGGCUGUCUGGAGCUUACUAUGUAGACCAGGCUGGCCUUGAACUCACCUACCUCCGCCUCCUGGACAGCUGGGAUUAAUGGGGUGUACCACCAUGCCCAGCUGGUAAAUAACUUUAAAAUACAGGGUAAAUGAAGCCUAUGCCUGGUGAGUCCCUUAUAUGAGGGAAAAGGAGGCUUCGUGGAAGAAAUCCAACGGUCAUGGCCUUUUUCCUUUUUUAGGGAGGUGGCCACAUAAGCAAUGAAGGCAGGGACUGAAGAGAUGGCUCCCAGCUAAGAGGGAUUAAUUCUACUUACAGGUUUAGUUCCCAGCAUCCACAUGGUACCUUACAACAAUCUGUUAACUCAUUUCAGGGUAUCUUUAUACUCUCUUCUGGUAUCUACAGGCACCCAUCAUACAAAUGGUGCAGACAUACAUGCAAGCAAAAUACAUACAUUAAAAAAUUUUUUUGACAAAGGGGCUGGGUGUAGUGGUGCAUACCUUUAAUCCUAGCAUUGAGGUAGAAGCAGGCAGAACUCGAGACAGUCUGGUCUACAGUGAAUUCCAGGUCAGGGCUAUGUAGAGAUCCUGUGCCAAUAAACAAACAAACAAACAAACAAACAAACAAAAAUAUUCAGAGGGCAAAAGACAUGUUUUAGAGUUGAGGCAUUAGCAAGACCCUUACUCUAUGGCUUAGAUCACCUGUUGAAGAUGAAGUGCUGGGAGUGUUUUUCUAAUAUGUUCAAAGCCCUGGGUUUAAUCUCCAGUACUACAUAAACCAAUGGUAAUGUAGACCUGUAAUCCCAGCAUUUGAAAGUCAGACGCAAGAGGAUUAAGAAGUAUAAGGCCAUAUGAGCUCUCUUCAAAAAGUACAGUAAGACAUGAACAGAAAAAGCUACUAAGAUUCCAGCUCAUUAAACGAGGAAAAUACCUAAUUAAAAAAAAAAGAGAAAAAAAAAGAUUCCAGCUCAUUAUCUACUUAAAAUUUCUGUUAAACUGGGCAUGAUGGCGUACACCUUUGAUCCUAGGAUUAAAGAAGCAAGCAAAUCCCUAAGAGGCCAGGUCAGCCUGAGCUACAAAGCAAGUCUUGGGCUACUCAAGGCUAUGUAGUGAAACCUUGUCUCAGAAACUACCAAAACCAAAGUACUACUCCACUCCUCUUUACUCUUGUUUUUCUGAAAUUCUCUGAAAUUUUCUGAAAAACAGGCUGCCCUUGAACUAUCCUCCUGUCUCCCUAGUGUUGGGCUUACAGGCGCGAGCAAUUCCGCUGGCUGUUCCUGUUUUACAGUAUUUCCUGCGGGCACUUGCUCUUCCAGGACCUUGAGCUCAGUCCUUAGCACCUGCGGCAGGCAGCUCACAACUGCCUGUCACUCCAGCUCCAAGGGAUCCUGUGACCUGAUCCCUCUGCAGGCAUCCUCACACAAGUGCCAUUCACAUCCCUCACAAUUGUUUAAGGACUUCAGGAGCAGGAAUCUGACCUAGAACUCACCCAUCCCUAGUGACCAAGAUAAUCUAAUUACAAUGUAAGUUCAAAAUUCUUCUUUGUGUCUCCAAGGGUGGGACUCCAAAAUCCUUAUGGCAGUCAAUGCCAACAUAAGUUAUCUUUUCCUCCUGGUAGCCUUUCUAAAAGACAGACCAAUGAGAGCUUGCAGUGGCUGGCCCAUGAGGUAGGGUUUCCCUCGCCUUCCAACACUACUUUCUCGUUCAAUGUUUCCCUAAUCUGUUUAGUUCCUUAUCUUAUACACACAGCACCUUUAAAGAAACCAACUCCUCCAGCUCCCUUGACAGCAAGCCAGUGUCAGGAAAGUGGACUGUUGUUUCACUGCAAUGAGAACAAAGUAAGAGAUUUUUAAAAAGGACAGAGGAGAUAUUGCUUUAACUCACUGUCACACUUCAUUUUAGGAAUUAAGUCCAACCAAAUACUGAAUAAUAAUAAUAAUAGACCUAUUCAGUAAAACUUGUUAAACUUUUCAUAAAAAACAAAACAACAAAAUCAUAAAACCCUAGACUGCCGUUCCAGAGUCUCUGCAUGCUUUGGUCGAUUUACUGUGUGUUAAGAAAACGGUAGAGAGAGUGAGUCCUUUGUACUUUGGCCCUUCGACUGUUUACCAGUUACAUUUGUGUGUUUAUGGGUGUGUCCAUGUGCCACACGCAUGACGAGGCCAACAUGCAGCAGUCAGUUCUCUCUCUGCAUGCGCCUGGAGGGUUCAACUCAGGCCACCAGGCCUGACAGUCCUCGAGCUGAGUCACUGGCUCUAACCUCUCUUCUUUUUAAUUUUUAGAAACUUAUUUUGGGGGGGCAUGACAUGGCCUAAGCAUAGGAAGUCAGAGGGCAGUGUUGGAGAGUUGGUUGUCUUAUUAGAUGCUGGUUGCCAGGAAUGUAAGGCAAAUGCCUUUAUCAACUGAGCCAUCUCUCCAGCCCCCAUAGCCCUUGACAUCACUUUGCAAACUAAAAGUCAACUGCAGGGUUUGGGAUGCAGCUUAGCACCACACUCUGGGUUUAGUCUCUAGCACAUGAACCUGACCUGGUUCAUGUCUUCCAUCUAAGCACUUGGGUGGUAGAGGCAGGAGAAUCAGGAAAGCUUAAGGUCGGCCUGAGCUACACAAGACGGUCUACAAAUCGUUGCGUUUGAGCAGAUGGCCUUGAAAGCUAGCAGUAACCUUUCUCUGUAGCUUUAGCUUAAGAAUGGGUCCCCAGGAACAUUUAACCUUAGUUUUAUCUACUAAGCAUUCACAUCGGAGCCCAUGCACUUUCUGCUGUUAACUGCCAAAUUCAAGGGCAUCACAUGUUAAAAGCCACAGAAUUAUUCAGACAAAAUGAAGCAUUAGCUUCAGAGCAGGAUCACAGGAGUCUGAUCCAAGUAACUCAAGCUUCCAGUGUAAACUGUAGUUACUAAACUUUAGCUUCUCCCUAUGGGAGCUUGUGAGACUGGCAGGGAUGAGAACGCACAUGUAGCCAUGAGAGUCAACUGUUAAGGUCAGAACCUCACUGAUUGUAGUCUUUUUCUUUUUUGGCCUAGAACUCAGAGCUCCGUCUGCCUUUGGUAUGUGCCACCACAUCUGGCCUAAUCUUGAAAACUUGUAAACUAAAACUAUCCCCAUACUUUUGAGCAGAGCCAAGCUGCAACAUCUGGUCCACUACCGUUAAGAUGUGUAUGAAAAAUGUCCAACUUGAUAGACUCUGGGGGAAAGACAGCUCAGGUUGGACAGAGGCCUCACAUGGAGCAGGCAAGUGGGCCACUGCUAAGCUACAGCCUCAGUCUGGGGACUAUUAGGCUACUAUUAGGUAGAAACUUCUGUUCUCUGGCUGCUAACAAUUAAUGUGUUUUUGUAACAGUAAGAAGUCAACAUACACACUGAAAAACCCUGUACUCUCCUAAAUAUUUUCUUUCAUCAUCAUGCUUGAAAAUUCUCAAUCAUUGGAUAUUAAGAUCACUUUUAGAUCUGCCCUCCUUUAAAACAAUAGCAUCACUUGAGUUAUAAUGAUAAGAACUAAGGAUUUCCUAUAUCAGUUUUAUUUAAAACACAAAUAAGUAUUUCUCUUUCGUUAAUGGCAAAUGGUUCAAAUAAUGUUGAACACAAAUCAUUGACUAAUACAGGGCAUUAAAUAUGAACAGACCUUUUUUUUUUUUUAAAGCAAAAUAAUAGAGGUUAUAUACAAAAGAGGCCUACAACCUAUAGGCCAAUUCAAAACAGGAGAUGUGUUUAUAAAAUGUGUGGUGAAACCAGAACCUUCCACCUCUGCUUUGGAGAAGGGCUAUCAUACAACAUUCAGUCAGCUGAAGAUGGAUCGGUACAAGCGUCUAUACAGAAACUUCAAGUCAUUUUUGCAUGUGCAGAAUCAUCCAGAUCUUCCCAGACUGAACUGGCAGUCCUGUGGCUUUCUUCCUUUUCCAUAUUCCCAACAAGGCUACAUGAACUUCAACUCUUGAUGAGCCGCUUACAACAGCAGUUCCUUAGGAGCCAACAUGACAGGUGGUCCAGGAUUUCCCUAUGAGAAACAAACUGGCCACCUACAGAAAGUAUCACAAUGAACAAGUCUUUUCUUUCCUUCUUCCAAUUCUGUACAGUGUCUCCUUUCAAGACUAUUAUCCUCAUCAGACUUGUUCCUUCACAAGUCUAAACCUUGAGGUGAUGUGAAGAGGACCAACAUUAAGAAAAGAAAACUCAAUCCAGAAGUGAAGAAACUGGAGGUAUCCAAUACACCCCAGAGCAUCUUGCCAUCCCUGACAGUACAGCCCAGUGUACUGCUACAGUCUGUAGAUCAAUACUGGCAGCUUGAGGUCCACCCCCCCAUGGUUAAAGCAUAUCAAAUAAAUACUAGGCAAGGAGUUUCCUGGGAGAGUUAGAAAUUAAAAAAAUUUACCAAUUUUCUGUCUCUGUGAUAAUUCAAUGCCAGUAAGAGAAAGGUAUUGAAGGGACAAUUUUCAUACUAAAAAAAGAAUUUCCCUAGUCAUGUCACCAUCUCUUAUAAAGAAUCCAGGGAAUCCCAGAAAUAGAAAAUUAGUUUCAGGGGACCCCUGAGGCACUUUAAAGCCUUUAAAAAAUUACAGUAAUAAUAAAUUAGCUAUUGCUCUUCAGAGGCUCACGGAACAGCUAACACAACAGGACCAGGUCCAGAGUUAGGUCCGUAUCUCAGGUUCUCGAGCUGCCCGGCCCUCUUUAAAGCUUAGACGAAUUUCCAAAUACAAGACAUACAAUUUAACACAGACUGAGUGGGUCUUUUGUUUAGUGGUAGCAUGACAUUUGGUCCACAAUGGUUAGCAGCUGUCUUCAUUUUUAAACUCUGAUAAAAUUAAGACAA